rnacentral:rRNA from 1 species
AGAGUUUGAUCAUGGCUCAGAGCGAACGUUAGCGGCGGGCCUAACACAUGCAAGUCGAACGAGAAAGCUCCUUCGGGAGUGAUUAAAGUGGCGCACGGGUGAGGAACGCGUAGGUAAUCUACCCUUUGGCGGGGGACAACAUUCCGAAAGGAAUGCUAAUACCGCGUAAGACCACACUCACUACGGUGAGAGCGGUUAAAGGUGCCUCAAAGCACCACCAGAGGAUGAGCCUGCGUCCCAUCAGCUUGUUGGUAAGGUAAUGGCUUACCAAGGCGAAGACGGGUAGCUGGUCUGAGAGGAUGAUCAGCCACACUGGCACUGGAACACGGGCCAGACUCCUACGGGAGGCAGCAGUGAGGAAUAUUGGGCAAUGGGCGCAAGCCUGACCCAGCCACGCCGCGUGUGUGAUGAAGGCCUUCGGGUCGUAAAGCACUGUGGGGAGAGACGAAACAGCGCAGGAGGAAAUGCCUGCGCCUUGACGGUACCUCCUUAGCAAGCACCGGCUAACUCUGUGCCAGCAGCCGCGGUAAUACAGAGGGUGCAAACGUUGCUCGGAUUUACUGGGCGUAAAGCGCGUGUAGGCGGACUCGCAAGUCGGUUGUGAAAUCCCUGGGCUUAACCUAGGAACUGCAUCCGAAACUGCUUGUCUUGAGUAAUGGAGAGGGUGGCGGAAUUCCCGGUGUAGAGGUGAAAUUCGUAGAUAUCGGGAGGAACAUCAGUGGCGAAGGCGGCCACCUGGACAUUUACUGACGCUGAGACGCGAAAGCGUGGGGAGCAAACAGGAUUAGAUACCCUGGUAGUCCACGCCGUAAACGAUGAGAACUAGGUGCAGCGGAUAUUGACCUCUGCUGUGCCGUAGCUAACGCGUUAAGUUCUCCGCCUGGGGAGUACGGCCGCAAGGCUAAAACUCAAAGGAAUUGACGG